UACGGAGGGUGCGAGCGUUGUCCGGAAUCACUGGGCGUAAAGGGCGCGUAGGUGGUGACCUAAGCGUGCGGUGAAAGCCCGAGGCUCAACCUCGGGUCGGCCGUGCGAACUGGGUCACUGGAGCAGAAUAGAGGCAGGUGGAAUUCCGGGUGUAGCGGUGGAAUGCGUAGAGAUCCGGAAGAACACCGGUGGCGAAGGCGGCCUGCUGGGUUCUGGCUGACACUGAGGCGCGACGAGCGUGGGGGAGCAAACAGG
rnacentral:rRNA from 1 species